CGUAAAGAACCUGCCUCAUAGACUGGGACAACUAUUGGAAACGAUAGCUAAUACCGGAUAACAGUAUUUCUCGCAUGAGAGAUAUUUAAAAGUUGGUUAUGCUAACACUAUGAGAUGGCUUUGCGGUGCAUUAGCUAGUUGGUGGGGUAAAGGCCUACCAAGGCGACGAUGCAUAGCCGACCUGAGAGGGUGAUCGGCCACACUGGGACUGAGACACGGCCCAG
rnacentral:rRNA from 1 species